UACGUAGGGUGCGAGCGUUAAUCGGAAUUACUGGGCGUAAAGCGUGCGCAGGCGGUCUGUUAAGACCGCUGUGAAAUCCCCGGGCUUAACCUGGGAACUGCAUCCGAUACUGGAUGGCUUGAAUCCGGGAGAGGGAUGCAGAAUUCCAGGUGUAGCGGUGAAAUGCGUAGAUAUCUGGAGGAAUACCGGUGGCGAAGGCGGCAUCCUGGACCGGCAUUGACGCUGAUGAGCGAAAGCUAGGGGAGCAAACGGG
rnacentral:rRNA from 1 species